CAACUCUUAAGGACAACCAUCCUUCUAUACACCUAUAUAAAUCCAUCAAUAUAUUUAUUCGGCACCAAAUCGUGAACCGGGCUCUAAAGUAAUCACUGAGUUGUUUCAACCAAGCGUUCAAAACAGCGUUGCUUAUUAGCCCUUUGCCGUCGUGCCUUCCGAGCAUAUUGAAGCAGAACUCAGUAAGCAUUAAGUUAUUCAGUUACUAAUAAGGAGCAUGACUAUCAUGAGACAGAAAUGUAUGUUGCAGUAGUAAUAUAGCUUUGCAGGAGGAGCUUUUCAUUCGAUUAUCUGGUGCUUGUGCCUGGCUGAGUAGGCGAUAACCCGAAGCUUUUGUCUGUUGGGUUACGGUUGAACGCAUCCAAACCAGAAUUUAUUGAUAACGCGAUGAUUACCUUCUUUUCGUUUUUUUUUUUUUUUUUUUUUUUUUAAUUGAAUAUAAAUGAGAACUUCGGCUCCUGAAGCAACCAUGUUACACAGGGUCAUAGGUGAAUGUCUGUUAGUGUUGGUUAGCUAUUGAAGGAGAUAAACCUAUUGGUCACCUGACAGGGUCUCCAUUGCAAUUUCUAGUGUAGAGGUU
rnacentral:ncRNA from 1 species